UGUUCAUUGAGCUCCUACUGUGUGCAGGUGCCAGAAACUUCACUACCACCUAUAGAAUUGGAGUGUCCCUGUUUCCAUGGGAGGAAGCAGCCAUGUCUCAAGGUCAUGGUGCAGGUCCCGGGUGGCCCUGGGGCCCAACCUACAUCUCUGUGCUAUGGGCUGACAUCGUGCUGCGGGUGUCCUCAAGACUACAUUUUUCUGACUGCCGGCUCUCAUGCAAGAAGAGUAGGGCUCUCAGUGUCCAGAGUCAGAGGAAGAGGCUGGGCUGAUGCCCAGGGCCAGGCUGAUGCCAGCAGUGAUGGUCACACUCCCUCAGUCCAGCCCUGAACUCUCAAAAGAAUUCAAAAGAGUCCCGAAUGCUACACAGGGACUUCCAACUGCCUACCUCGGUGGCCUGGGGUCAUCGGGACAACACCAGGCAGGAGCGUGGCUUGGAGCUGUCUGCUUUCCAAAUGUACUGCCGCAUUGAGUCUCAGGCAGCCUAGGGAUCUGGCGGGAGGGUAGCGCUGCGGUGACUGCAGGCUGCUAGUCGCGGGUAUGGGCUGCAGGUCCAGGUCCAUAGGAUACAGCCACAGCCGUGACCACCAGGAGAGGCACAUCUCAAUCCCGGAGGACCCUGGAGCAGUGGACGCCGACCCCCGCAGGGCUGCUCCCAGAUGGCGUCCAGCACCCGCCUGGGCCCCGGCAGCAGGGCGAGUGAAAGCCAGCAGGCCACAGCAUCCGUGGGUCCACGGCUCCCCUCCUGGUCACAUAGGAUGGUGGAAAUUGGGACUGAGGGUCAGCAGUGCCCCAAAGGGCACAGCUCUGAACAGAGACCCUGAGGAGGGAGAGAGCACCAAAGGUGAGAUCCUUCAGCCCCCAGAGGAACCAUGAGGGUGCCACAGGACACAGGCGGCAGAAGGACCUGUGUCCAGCCUCUCGACGCCCAUUCACACCUGUUCAGCGUCUCCAGAGCUUCCCACACGGGAGCAGCCCAGCUCGAUGUAGCUCCCUUUAACCUGUCCCCAGAAGUCAUCAAUCUUGACCUUCACUCUCUGACCUCCUUGAAAAACCUGAAGUUUCUGCCAGAAAACACAAAAAAAUCCCCAGGUUAUUCCCUGUUUUAAAAGGAAGUGAAAAAAAAAAAGUAUGUGAAUUUAUGUGCUAUUUUUUAUAUAGUUUUAAUUGCAAAUGCACUUUUAAACCUAAAGAGGCUUUUGUCAAAACUGGUCACGUG
rnacentral:lncRNA from 1 species